UUGGAUGAAAAAUUGGAUGAAAAAUUGAAUGAAAAAUUGGAUGAAAAAUGUAAUGUACACGAAGAGAAGUGUUGGUGUUCCGAUAAAAAAAAACAACUUGAUUUAGAAGACGUUGACAAAACAAGUGAAUAUGUUUCAGAUAAUAAUAGUGACACUGACUAUUACAAUGGUAAUUCUGACGACAGCAACCAUAGUAAUACAUCUUAUAUGAAUGAAAAUACAGAUGUAAGUAGAAAGAAAGUUAAAAAAGCUGUGAUGUGUACCGACAUAAAAGAAGAAGUAGUGGAAGUGGUAUCAAACGGAAAUGAUCGUGCUAAUAAUAAUGACUCUGACUCUGAGUCCGAUUCAGUUUCUGAUUCGAGUGGUUGGAUAAAUCUGUAUAAUUACGACACAUUAAAUUUGAACGUGAACACUGAUAAACAAUUUGAUUGUGACAUUGCAUGUAUUACAACAGAUUAUGCUAUGCAGAAUGUUCUAUAUCAAAUUGGAUUGAAUGUGAUAACAAUAGAUGGGUAUGAAAUUAAUUCAGUAAAAAUGUGGGGAUACAUUUGUACAUCUUGUUAUUUUUUUAUGCGAACAAAUAAUUUAUUAUUUUGUCAGAAGUGUGGUAAUAAUAAUUUAAGAAAAGUAAAUGUAACUGUUGACAACGAAUCAAAAAAAUUAGUAGUUAAAAUACCAAAUUUUCGUAUUAACUGUAAAAAUACCAUUUUUAGUAUACCUAAAAAGAAUAGUAACUCAAAAACAAACUUUAAUGAAAAACUGAAAAUAUUCAGAGAGGACGAAUUGUUAAUCGGAGGUAGAAAACAAUACAUUAAACGUCAAAAAAAACUAUAUGACUUACAAAAAAAUGUUAAAGACCCAUUCAGAGAAGAAAACGCGUUUGAAUAUGUCAAUGAUUGGGCUUAUAGAACAACCUUAAAAAAUGGCAAGUUUGCCGUUUUAAAAAAUCCAAAGAUUAUUAUAGGUGGUAAAAAAAAUAUACACAGAAGGAAAAAAUAAGAAGGGUUUACGUGCGUGCGUAUGUAUAUACAUAUAUGGACUUUAUAUAUAUAUAUAUAUAUAUAUAUGAACGCAUGCGUAUAUUUAUUUAUUCACAUUUAUAUGUUCAAUUUUUUCCCUUUUUUUUAUUUUUAACAAUAACAAUUUUUCAAAAAACAUAUUCAAUAUUUUUUAAUUUAGAAAAAUUACACUAU
rnacentral:lncRNA from 1 species